rnacentral:tRNA from 1 species
GAGCCGUUAGCUCAGCUGGCAGAGCACCGGACUUUUAAUCCGGGUGUCCUGGGUUCGAGUCCCAGACGGCUCA